GGCCGGCUAGCUCAGUUGGUUAGAGCGUGGUGCUAAUAUUAUAUAUGUGACGCCAAGGUCGUCAGUUCAAUCCCGGCGUUGGCCA